GAUGAACGCUAGCGGCAGGCCUAAUACAUGCAAGUCGAGGGGUAUAAGGAGCUUGCUUCUUUGAGACCGGCGCACGGGUGCGUAACGCGUAUGCAACCUACCUUAAUCAGGGGGAUAGCCCGGAGAAAUUCGGAUUAACACCGCAUAAAAUCACAGUAUUGCAUAAUACAAUGAUCAAAUAUUUAUAGGAUUAAGAUGGGCAUGCGUGUCAUUAGCUAGUUGGUAAGGUAACGGCUUACCAAGGCGACGACGACUAGGGGAUCUGAGAGGAUUACCCCCCACACUGGUACUGAGACACGGACCAGACUCCUACGGGAGGCAGCAGUAAGGAAUAUUGGUCAAUGGACGCAAGUCUGAACCAGCCAUGCCGCGUGCAGGAUGACUGCCCUAUGGGUUGUAAACUGCUUUUAUAUAGGAAUAAAUGUACUUACGUGUAAGUAUUUGAAUGUACUAUAGGAAUAAGGAUCGGCUAACUCCGUGCCAGCCGCCGCGGUAA
rnacentral:rRNA from 1 species